rnacentral:rRNA from 1 species
CCUACGGGUGGCAGCAGUGAGGAAUAUUGGUCAAUGGGCGCGAGCCUGAACCAGCCAAGUAGCGUGAAGGAUGCCUGCCCUACGGGUUGUAAACUUCUUUUAUAAAGGAAUAAAGUGAGGCAUGUGUGCGCUUUUGUAUGUACUUUAAGAAUAAGGAUCGGCUAACACCGUGCCAGCAGCCGCCGUCAUACGGAGGAACCGAGCGUUAACCGGAUUUAUUGGGUUUAAAGGGAGCGUAGAUGGGUUGUUAAGUCAGUUGUGAAAGUUUGGGGCUCAACCGUAAAAUUGCAAUUGAUACUGGCAGUCUUGAGUACAGUUGAGGUAGGCGGAAUUCGUGGUGUAGCGGUGAAAUGCUUAGAUAUCACGAAGAACUCCGAUUGCGAAGGCAGCUUACUAAACUGCCACUGACAUUGAUGCUCGAAAGUGUGGGUAUCAAACAGGAUUAGAGACCCGAGUAGUC